rnacentral:piRNA from 1 species
UCUGACAUAUGGAUGGCUUUUGGUUGGUGU